AGUAUAAUUGCUGGAUCAUAUGGUAAGAGUAUGUUUAAUUUUGUAAGAAACUGCCCAACUGUCUUCUAAAAUGGCUAUAUCAUUUGUAUUCCCAUCAGCAAU
rnacentral:pre_miRNA from 1 species